AGUUUUUCGAAAGCAAAGCGUUGGGUUGAAGAAUUAGAAACUAGUGAAAGUGAUUGUAUUAACUACCUCGUUGCUACUAAAUGUGACUUAAUUUUUGAGGAAAGCGCGGCUAGAGCUGUUUCCAUGGAGGAUGUGGAAGAGUUUGCUAAACUAUACAAUUUAAAACCUUUUGAAACUUCUAGCAAAACUGGCCUUCAAAUAGAUAAAUUAUUUAAAACUUUAAGCGAAGAUAUUAGCAAAGUUAAGCAAAAACCCUUAGAAAAUUCUUUUGCUGUGGAAGUCACACCGCCUACUCGCUUCAGACCACGGUGGUGCUGUUUUUAAUUUAAUAGCAACGUUUACCAUACCUGCCAAUAUAAAUAAAACAAAUAGAAAUA